CCUGGUUGAUUCUGCCAGUAUUCAUAUGCUUGUCUCAAAGAUUAAGCCAUGCAUGUCUAAGUAUAAGCAACUUUGUACUGUGAAACUGCGAAUGGCUCAUUAAAUCAGUUAUAGUUUAUUUGAUGGUUUUUGCUACAUGGAUAACUGUGGUAAUUCUAGAGCUAAUACAUGCAUUCAAGCCCCGACUUCUGGAAGGGGUGUAUUUAUUAGAUAAAAAUCAACUUUGUUGGUGAAUCAUAAUAACUUCUCGGACCGCAUGGCCUCGUGCUGGCGGUGCUUCAUUCAAAUAUCUGCCCUAUCAACUGUCGAUGGUAGGAUAGAGGCCUACCAUGGUUGCAACGGGUAACGGGGAAUAAGGGUUCGAUUCCGGAGAGGGAGCCUGAGAAACGGCUACCACAUCCAAGGAAGGCAGCAGGCGCGCAAAUUACCCAAUCCCAACACGGGGAGGUAGUGACAAUAUGUAACAAUAUACGGCCUUAUACGUCGUAUAAUUGGAAUGAGUACAAUUUAAAUCCCUUAACGAGGAACAAUUGGAGGGCAAGUCUGGUGCCAGCAGCCGCGGUAAUUCCAGCUCCAAUAGCGUAUAUUAAAGUUGUUGCAGUUAAAAAGCUCGUAGUUGGACCUUGGACCUGGACAGGCGGUCCGCCUCACGGCGAGUACUGUCUUGCUGGGUCUUUCCUCUUGGUGAUCUGUUGUUUCGGCAGCAGGGAACCAGGACCUUUACUUUGAAAAAAUUAGAGUGUUCAAAGCAGGCUCGACGCCGGAAUAUAUUAGCAUGGAAUAUAAAAUAGGACGUGCGGUUCUAUUUUGUGGUUUUUGGA
rnacentral:rRNA from 1 species